rnacentral:rRNA from 1 species
UACGUAGGCAGCAAGCGUUGUUCGGAAUUACUGGGCGUAAAGAGUGUGUAGGCGGUGCUCUAAGUCUGUCGUGAAAUCUCCCGGCUUAACUGGGAGAGUGCGGCGGAAACUAGAGUGCUAGAGGGUGGGAGAGGAAAGCGGAAUUCCUGGUGUAGCGGUGAAAUGCGUAGAUAUCAGGAGGAACACCUGCGGUGUAGACAGCUUUCUGGACCACUUCUGACGCUGAGGCGCGAAGGCUAGGGGAGCAAACAGG